AUUGAACGCUGGCGGCAUGCUUUACACAUGCAAGUCGAACGGUAACAGGCCGCAAGGUGCUGACGAGUGGCGAGCGGGUGAGUAAUGCAUCGGAACGAGCCCAGUCGUGGGGGAUAACGCAGCGAAAGCUGCGCUAAUACCGCACACGACCGAUGGCUGAAAGCGGGGGACCGUAAGGCAUCGCGCGAUUGGAGCGGACGGUGUCCGGUUAGGUAGUUGGUGAGGUCAAGGCUCACCAAGACAACGAUGUGUAGCAGAUCUGAGAGGACGACAAGCCACCCUGUGACUGAGACACGGCCCAGCCUCCUAGGGGAGGAAGCAGUGGGGAAUUUUGGAGAAAGGGCGCAAGCCUGAUCCAGUUAUGCCGCGUGCAGGAAGAAGGCCUCCGGGUUGUAAGCUGCUUUUGUACGGGACGAAACGGUCCAGGUUAAUACCGUGGGAUAAUGACGGUACGGUAAUAAUAAGCACCGGGUAACUACGUGGCAGCAACCGCAGUAA
rnacentral:rRNA from 1 species